UGUGUGGCAUACGGCUCAGUAACACGUAGUCAACGUGCCCAGGGGACGUGGAUAACCUCGGGAAACUGAGGAUAAACCGCGAUAGGUCACUACUUCUGGAAUGGGUAAUGACCCAAACCUAUAUGGCCCCUGGAUUGGACUGCGGCCGAUCAGGCUGUUGGUGAGGUAAUGGCCCACCAAACCUGUAACCGGUACGGGCUCUGAGAGGAGGAGCCCGGAGAUGGGCACUGAGACAAGGGCCCAGGCCCUAUGGGGCGCAGCAGGCGCGAAACCUCUGCAAUAGGCGAAAGCUUGACAGGGUUACUCUGAGUGAUUUCCGUUAAGGAGAUCUUUUGGCACCUCUAAAAAUGGUGCAGAAUAAGGGGUGGGCAAGUCUGGUGUCAGCCGCCGCGGUAAUACCAGCACCCCGAGUGGUCGGGACGUUUAUUGGGCCUAAAGCAUCCGUAGCCGGUUCUACAAGUCUUCCGUUAAAUCCACCUGCUCAACAGAUGGGCUGCGGAAGAUACUAUGGAGCUAGGAGGCGGGAGAGGCAAGCGGUACUCGAUGGGUAGGGGUAAAAUCCGUUGAUCCAUUGAAGACCACCAGUGGCGAAGGCGGCUUGCCAGAACGCGCUCGACGGUGAGGGAUGAAAGCUGGGGGAGCAAACCGGAUUAGAUACCCGGGUAGUCCCAGCUGUAAACGAUGCAGACUCGGUGAUGAGUUGGCUUUAUGCCAACUCAGUGCCGCAGGGAAGCCGUUAAGUUUGCCGCCUGGGGAGUACGGUCGCAAGACUGAAACUUAAAGGAAUUGGCGGGGGAGCACCACAAGGGGUGAAGCCUGCGGUUCAAUUGGAGUCAACGCCGGA
rnacentral:rRNA from 1 species